GUGCCAGCAGCCGCGGUAAGACGAACCGUGCGAACGUUGUUCGGAAUCACUGGGCUUAAAGGGUGCGUAGGCGGGCGAUCAAGUCAGGGGUGAAAUCCUCCAGCUUAACUGGAGAACUGCCUUUGAUACUGGUCAUCUUGAGUGAGGUAGGGGCGUGCGGAACUGAUGGUGGAGCGGUGAAAUGUGUUGAUAUCAUCAGGAACUCCGGUGGCGAAAGCGGCGCGCUGGACCUUUACUGACGCUGAGGCACGAAAGCCAGGGGAGCGAACGGGAUUAGAUACCCCCGUAGUCC
rnacentral:rRNA from 1 species